GAUGAACGCUGGCGGCGUGCCUAAUACAUGCAAGUCGAGCGAUCGGACGCGACGUUUGCUUCUCUGAUGUUACCGGCGGACGGGUGAGUAACACGUGGAUAACCCACCUCUAAGACUGGGGUAACUUCGGGAAGCCGGAGCUACUACCGGGUGAUAUUUUGGACCGCAUGGUUCAAAAGUGAAAUACGGUCUUGCUGUGACCUAUCGACGGAUCCGCUCUGCAUUAGCUAGUUGGUAAGCUAACGACUUGCCAAGUCAACGAUGCGUGACCGACCCCAGCGGGUGAUCGGCCACCCUAGAGGUUGGCCACCGUCCAGGCGACUGCGGGAGGCCGCAGUAGCGAAUCUUACGCAAUGGGCGAAAGCCUUGCAGAGCAACGCCACGUGAGAGAUAGAGGCCUUGGGUGCGUAAAACUCUGUUAUUGAGGAAAAACAUAUGUGUAAGGAACUGUGCACAUCGUGACGGUACCUAAUCAGAAAGCCACGGCUAACUACGUG
rnacentral:rRNA from 1 species